ACGAACGCUGGCGGCGUGCUUAACACAUGCAAGUCGCACGGAAAGGCCCUGCUUUUGUGGGGUGCUCGAGUGGCGAACGGGUGAGUAACACGUGAGUAACCUGCCCUUGACUUUGAGAUAACUUCAGGAAACUGGGGCUAAUACCGGAUAGGAGCUCCUGCUGCAUGGUGGGGGUUGGAAAGUUUCGGCGGUUGGGGAUGGACUCGCGGCUUAUCAGCUUGUUGGUGGGGUAGUGGCUUACCAAGGCUUUGACGGGUAGCCGGCCUGAGAGGGUGACCGGCCACAUUGGGACUGAGAUACGGCCCAGACUCCUACGGGAGGCAGCAGUGGGGAAUAUUGCACAAUGGGCGGAAGCCUGAUGCAGCAACGCCGCGUGCGGGAUGACGGCCUUCGGGUUGUAAACCGCUUUCGCCUGUGACGAAGCGUGAGUGACGGUAAUGGGUAAAGAAGCACCGGCUAACUACGUG
rnacentral:rRNA from 1 species